rnacentral:rRNA from 1 species
GAAAUAGCUACCACUUCUACGGAGGGCAGCAGGCGCGCAAAUUGCCCAAUGUCAAAAAAAACGAUGAGGCAGCGAAAAGAAAUAGAGCCGGCAGUGCCAAUGGCAUUGCCGUUUUCAAUGGGGGAUAUCUAAACCCAUCCAAAAUCGAGUAUCAAUUGGAGGACAAGUCUGGUGCCAGCACCCGCGGUAAUUCCAGCUCCAAAAGCGUAUAUUAAUGCUGUUGCUGUUAAAGGG